rnacentral:tRNA from 1 species
GGGGAUGUAGUUAAUAAUAACGUUUAAUUUGCAAUUAAAAAGAACUAAUUUAGUCUUCCUCA